UGGGGAAUUUUGCACAAUGGGGGAAGCCCUGAUGCAGCGACGCCGCGUGAUUUAGAAGGCCUUCGGGUUGUAAAAAUCUUUUCUAUGGGAAGAAAAUGACAGUACCAUAGGAAUAAGGACCGGCUAAUUACGUGCCAGCAGCCGCGGUAAUACGUAAGGUCCGAGCGUUGUCCGGAAUCAUUGGGCGUAAAGGGUACGUAGGCGGGUAAGCAAGUUAGAAGUGAAAUCCUAUAGCUCAACUAUAGUAAGCUUUUAAAACUGCUCAUCUUGAGGUAUGGAAGGGAAAGUGGAAUUCCUAGUGUAGCGGUGAAAUGCGCAGAUAUUAGGAGGAAUACCGGUGGCGAAGGCGACUUUCUGGCCAUAACCUGACGCUGAGGUACGAAAGCGUGGGUAGCAAACAGG
rnacentral:rRNA from 1 species